rnacentral:rRNA from 1 species
CGGCCGCGUCGACUGAGUAACGCGUGAGAAUCUGCCUUCAACACGGAGAGUUUGAUCCUGGCUCAGGAUGAACGCUGGCGGUCUGCUUAACACAUGCAAGUCGAACGGAGUAGAAAUACUUAGUGGCGGACGGGUGAGUAACGCGUGAGAAUCUGCCUAGUAGUGGGGGAUAGCUCGGGGAAACUCGAAUUAAUACCGCAUACGACCUACGGGUGAAAGGGGCGCAAGCUCU